rnacentral:rRNA from 1 species
GAGGACGACCAGCCACACUGGAACUGAGACACGGUCCAGACUCCUACGGGAGGCAGCAGUGGGGAAUUUUGGACAAUGGGCGCAAGCCUGAUCCAGCCAUUCCGCGUGCAGGAUGAAGGCCCUCGGGUUGUAAACUGCUUUUGUACAGAACGAGAAGGUUUCUACUAAUACUAGGAGCUCAUGACGGUACUGUAAGAAUAAGCACCGGCUAACUACGUGCCAGCAGCCGCGGUAAUACGUAGGGUGCAAGCGUUAAUCGGAAUUACUGGGCGUAAAGCGUGCGCAGGCGGUUAUAUAAGUCAGAUGUGAAAUCCCCGGGCUCAACCUGGGAACUGCAUUUGAGACUGUAUAGCUAGAGUACGGCAGAGGGGGAUGGAAUUCCGCGUGUAGCAGUGAAAUGCGUAGAUAUGCGGAGGAACACCGAUGGCGAAGGCAAUCCCCUGGGCCUGUACUGACGCUCAUGCACGAAAGCGUGGGGAGCAAACAGGAUUAGAUACCCUGGUAGUCCACGCCCUAAACGAUGUCAACUGGUUGUUGGGUCUUAACUGACUCAGUAGCGAAGCUAACGCGUGAAGUUGAC